AGUGUGAACAUGGAGAUGAAAAGGCAUGCCUUUUGAGUUCCCAGCCGAAGGGCUCGCGCUGUCAGGUUGUGCGGCCCGUCCAUCUCGGCCCCGUCGUCCCGCGGGCCCCAGCUGCAGACGUAGAUGUCGAUGAAGUGGAUGUUGAAGGUCAGAGCUGUGGCCUCCAUGGCAUCAGUGACAGAGCCGUCUAACAAGCGGAUACCUGGAUGGAUCGAAAAGCUCUGUUUCAGUCCUGACCAUCUCACCUGCACCAGCAGGACCAUCAACAUUAUCAAACACUCCUCUCACCCCUCCAAUGGACUGCUCAACCCACAACCAUCUACAGUAAGAAAAAGGUCUUACAGCUUUCCCCACAGGCGGCUAGGCUACUGAACUCUUUACUCCUCACAGCAGUGAGACUGAACCAAGACAGUAAAGUUGUAGGCUGGAAAAACCAAAACAAUGAGCUGAAAGACACUACAAAGUGCAGAGUCAGAACUGCAGAGUGAUAAUUAUUUGUGAAUUUGUUACGAGCAACCCCUUUUCACAUACAACUUAGCUUAGCUGCUAACUGUAGAUGGCACAUAUAAUUAGCACCACACAGACCCCCCCAGCAAAAAUGCAUAUAAAUUAAAAAAAUAAAACUUCAUAAUAUUAAAACCUUACUUUUGCUUUCUUGUUUACAAUACAUUAUCAUAACUGCCCCAGUGCAUAUAAGUAGGCAUGAAUAACAAUGGUCAGCUCUGCACCCUGUGUAAAACUGCCUUGGUCCCCUCUUGCUUUACACCAUGUCUGUACUGUCCAGUUCCUUUUUACACUGAACUGAGGAGCCAUUUCAGAUCAAAUGUAAAUGUGAAUUUCCAGUGAAAGACAUUUUCAGAAGAGCUUGUCUGGUGACUGUAUUAUUACAAAAUGUUUAUCUCUUCUACGAAUUGUCUUUUAUAAUCUUCUUGCAAUGAAAUGCAUUGCAAAUGAACAAACAUCACAGGCCUAAUUUGUCUCCUUCCUGUUGAUUCAUCACAUUCACGACAUCCGAACUAACAGGACUACAUAAAUUUAGUUUCAAGUAAAUUUUCCAAACAGAAGCACACAGAGAAGUAAAGCUCAGGUAAUCCUCGCUGUCAGAAAGUGAGCACAGGUCUCAACUGCACCCAGUAGUUCAACAUGCAUCUUUCAGUUGGGUCUUGCCCCUUCAUCACAUGUGCGCAAGAAUCUGUUCAUGAGUAAGGUUAAAAUAGACUCGGCAAGGUGAAAUUAAGAAAAACUGUGGAAAGAGAUUCCUAGUCUUGCCUCACAAACAGUUAGUUUCCCCUUUUUGUCAAUUCUGCAAGAGGUUCUCAUCAGCUUCUGACAAAUAGGGGAGGGUCAAGGGUUAAAGAUCACAGAGUUCAACCGAGAGAUUAAUUUCUUCAUACGCCACGUUUCAUGCAGAUGACACCGCUGUAUGACAUUGGUUUUGAGCCGUUCAGAUAUGAGUGCUGUGGGAAAUCGCCUUACUCACACAUAUCAUGUACCACUCAUUAACUUGUGGUUUAUAGCACUCUUAGUGUAACUUGUAAAAAUCUUUGAAAAUGGGCUACCUUUUGUGUAUUUGGUUCAUUCAUCCCUCGCAAAUGUUACAUUGCGAGGGAUGAAUGAACCAAACGUCUGAAACCAACACUAAAAAAGUCAUUAUUGAAGCUCCCACUAAAAAAUGUGCUGUUAAUUAGGGUGAACACGGCAAUAGCAGCCAGUCACCCUGUAGUCUGUUGCAUUCACACAAACCCGAAGCGACACAUAAACACAAAAUUCACAAAAUGUGCAUGUGCAUUGCUUUAAAUUACAUACAAAUAUUUCUGAACAAAUCAAAACUCCAUCUUAAAGAUUGGCAUUUAAAUAAAACUCUGUUAUGUCACUAUCUAUCACCGAAUGAGGUAACACAAUGGUGACUGAGUCCAUGGCAGAAAAGGUGAAAGCCCCUGCAUUUGCAGCAUCACGAACUGAGUGUCGGCAUUCCCGGCAUAAAUGCUGAAUUAGGUUACUGCUAAUGCAAACCGAAAAUUUCCUACUGCUGCAGCUUCACAUUAAAAGCAUUAAACUGGUGAAACUGCAUUUGCUGUUACCACCAGUAACUACGGAUGUUGUUGAGUUAUUUUAGGACUAGUAAUCACUGCAGGAUGUGGGCCAAAAAAUCAGUGCAAUGAAAUUUGAAUGAAUGAAUGAAUUUUGUUCAAUUGUACAGGUCUUUGCAUAAAUGAAGAAACGAACGACACACCGUCGCUCACAACCAAAUACACCUUUUUACUGUUUUACAGGCAUUUCUUGAUCAGAUUCUAGCUGCUUUAUAAUGUAAUUUUAUCAUUAUGCAUUAUCGCAAUAGUGACAAGGAUUAGUGGCCUACUACAAGUGCUUUUGACAAACCAUUCUCAUAGCCUCCCACUGUCUCGAUAAGGCUAUAUUGUUUUCCUCACCUCCGAUCCUGGCAUUGAAGGCGAUGCCCACACCGCAGUAGGAGUUGUUGGCCUCCAUGGCAACUUCCCCUGCACACCGGGUACCGUGACUGAAACAGAGGGGAAUAAGAUGUUAGCCACACACUGAGAAUGAGAUGCAGAGAUGUGAGUUUUCUUUUUUUGGACAUGUUGACUUGAGCACACCCCAAAUUAAGCCUGGACAGACAAUUACAUUCAGUAUAUCCUGAUUUUGAAAAUGGUACAGACACGCACCGAGAUACUGCUCAAACGAAGGACAGCAUUCUGCAGCUGAUUGCUUAUUCAUACACAGCACUUAAAAUAUUGUAAUAUUUCCUAGCUUGACCCAAUACAUGUGUAACUGUUUGUAUAUGUACUAGAUUCUUAAAAUAUGUUUAACAUAUUUACCAUGACAUCAUUUUGUGAUAUUACAUUGUGAGUACAAUAUCCUACAGUGGGCAAAUUGACCGUUUGCUAAGCUCUUAUUUACUAUUGCUAAGCCUGUUAAGCUUUCUGUUCUCUCACGGCACAAGAAAUGUAGAGCUAGUAAGUCCUUGUAAUUUAAUAAAGACUUUCAUCUUACA